rnacentral:rRNA from 1 species
UACAGAGGGUGCUAGCGUUGUUCGGAAUCAUUGGGCGUAAAGGGCGUGUAGGCGGUUUGUUAAGUCAUGUGUGAAAUCCCUCGGCUCAACCGGGGAACGACGCAUGAAACUGGCAAGCUAGAGUACCAAAGAGGGGGGUGGAAUUCCCGGUGUAGUGGUGGAAUGCGUAGAGAUCCGGAGGAACACCAGCGGCGAAGGCGGCAUCCUGGACUGGUCCUGACACUCAUGAGCGAAAGCGUGGGGAGCGAUCCGG